rnacentral:rRNA from 1 species
GUACUCGAGUGGCGAACGGGUGAGUAACACGUGGGUGAUCUGCCCUGAACUUUGGGAUAAGCCUGGGAAACUGGGUCUAAUACCGGAUAUGACCUUGGAGUGCAUGCUCUGGGGUGGAAAGCUUUUGCGGUUCAGGAUGGGCCCGCGGCCUAUCAGCUUGUUGGUGGGGUAAUGGCCUACCAAGGCGACGACGGGUAGCCGACCUGAGAGGGUGAUCGGCCACACUGGGACUGAGACACGGCCCAGACUCCUACGGGAGGCAGCAGUGGGGAAUAUUGCACAAUGGGCGCAAGCCUGAUGCAGCGACGCCGCGUGAGGGAUGACGGCCUUCGGGUUGUAAACCUCUUUCACCAGGGACGAAGCGUGAGUGACGGUACCUGGAGAAGAAGCACCGGCCAACUACGUGCCAGCAGCCGCGGUAAUACGUAGGGUGCGAGCGUUGUCCGGAAUUACUGGGCGUAAAGAGCUCGUAGGCGGUUUGUCGCGUCGUCUGUGAAAUUCUGCAACUCAAUUGUAGGCGUGCAGGCGAUACGGGCAGACUUGAGUACUACAGGGGAGACUGGAAUUCCUGGUGUAGCGGUGAAAUGCGCAGAUAUCAGGAGGAACACCGGUGGCGAAGGCGGGUCUCUGGGUAGUAACUGACGCUGAGGAGCGAAAGCGUGGGUAGCGAACAGGAUUAGAUACCCUGGUAGUCCACGCCGUAAACGGUGGGUACUAGGUGUGGGG